rnacentral:misc_RNA from 1 species
UUUCCGUAGGUGAACCUGCGGAAGGAUCAUUAAAAAAUUGGACUCCAUUGGUGAGUUCAUUAAUAAUCCCUACCCUUUGUGAAUUUGUUUGUUUGAAUAAUUUUUUUUCCAAAAGAAAUUAUUGAAUGUCUUUCCCUGUUUUGGUGGAGCUUGUAAAGUGAAACCAGGCAGGGGAAUGGCAAACAAUAAUUAUUUUUGAAAAAAGACCUUUUUUUAGAAUUAAACUUUUUGUAUUCAUUUGUCUAAAAUUAUUUUUAUAAUAUAAAAACAACUUUUGACAAUGGAUCUCUUGGUUCUCGCAACGAUGAAGAACGCAGCAAAAUGCGAUAAGUAGUGUGAAUUGCAGAAUACGUGAAUCAUCGAAUCUUCGAACGCAUAUUGCACUUUUUUAGUUUACUAAAAAAGUAUGUCUGUUUGAGUAUCAGUAAAAUAUUCUCAUAAAAAACAUUGUUUUUUUAUGGUUAUGAGUGUUUACAACGAUAACAAGUUGUUUCACUUUAAAUUCUUUGUUAUCAAAAAAAUCAUUAAAAGCUAAUUUUAAAGAUUUUUUAAAAUUGGAUAAAAUUUUCCCGUAAAAAGGAAUAACCUAACAAUUUUAAAAAUUAAAAUUGGUUUGAUUUUUUUUGAAACCCGAAGGAAAAAAAACGAAAUUAACUUGAUCUCAAAUCAGAUAAGAGUACCCGCUGAACUUAAGCAUAUCAAUAAGCGGAGGAAAAGAAACUAACUAGGAUUCCCUCAGUAACGGCGAGUGAAGCGGGAAGAGCUCAAAUUUGAAAUCUUCAAGGUUUUACCUUGACGAAUUGUAGUUUAAAGAAGUGUUUUCUGUUGGAGUUUUGGUAAAAGUUCUUUGGAAAAGGACAUCAUAGAGGGUGAGAAUCCCGUAUUUGACCAUUAUCUCCAGCUUUGUGAUACACUUUCAAAGAGUCGGAUUGUUUGGGAAUGCAGUCCAAAAUGGGUGGUAAAUUUCAUCUAAAGCUAAAUACUGGCGAGAGACCGAUAGCGAACAAGUACCGUGAGGGAAAGAUGAAAAGAACUUUGAAAAGAGAGUUAAACAGUACGUGAGAUUGUCAAAAGGGAAGCGUUUGACACCAGUGUUGUUUUCUCGAAAAUCAAUUAAAAAAGGCCGGAUUUUGUGUUGUAUUGACUUUAUCAGCUUUCUGCACUUUUUUCUUGUCUUUUUUAAUGCACUUUUCGUUUAACAAGUCAACAUCAAUUUCUUUUGUUGUAAAAGGGUCAUUGGAAGGUGGCUUUCUUUUCGGAGAAAGUGUUUAUAGCCUUUGGCCUCUGCAAUCGGAGAGAUUGAGGUCUGCAGCGUAGAUCCUUCGGGGUUAGAUACAUUUGUGCUAAGUUAUAGCCUUUUAUAGACAACUUGUUGACUAUGAUCAGUCAUGUAGCUUACUCGCUUAUGCUAUUUUACCUACGCUUAGGAUGUUG